rnacentral:rRNA from 1 species
CUCAGUUCGGAUUGUAGUCUGCAACUCGACUACAUGAAGCUGGAAUCGCUAGUAAUCGCAGAUCAGGAUGCUGCGGUGAAUACGUUCCCGGGUCUUGUACACACCGCCCGUCACACCAUGGGAGUCGGAAAUGCCCGAAGCCGGUGACCAAACCAAUAAGGAAGGAGCCGCCGAAGGCAGGUCUGAUAACUGGGGUGAAGUCGUAACAAGGUACC